UACGAAGGGGGCUAGCGUUGCUCGGAAUGACUGGGCGUAAAGGGCGCGUAGGCGGAUGGUUUUGUCGGGCGUGAAAUUCCAGGGCUUAACCUUGGGGCUGCGUUCGAGACGGAUUGUCUAGAGUUUGGCAGAGGGUCGUGGAAUUCCCAGUGUAGAGGUGAAAUUCGUAGAUAUUGGGAAGAACACCGGUGGCGAAGGCGGCGACCUGGUCCAAGACUGACGCUGAUGCGCGAAAGCGUGGGGAGCAAACAGG
rnacentral:rRNA from 1 species